GUGAGGAAUAUUGGUCAAUGGGCGGGAGCCUGAACCAGCCAAGUCGCGUGAAGGAAGAAGGAUCUAUGGUUCGUAAACUUCUUUUGCAGGGGAAUAAAGUGCAGGACGUGUCCUGUUUUGUAUGUACCCUGAGAAUAAGGAUCGGCUAACUCCGUGCCAGCAGCCGCGGUAAUACGGAGGAUCCGAGCGUUAUCCGGAUUUAUUGGGUUUAAAGGGUGCGUAGGUGGUUUGAUAAGUCAGCGGUGAAAGUUUGCAGCUUAACUGUAAAAAUGCCGUUGAAACUGUCGGACUUGAGUGUAAAUGAGGUAGGCGGAAUGCGUGGUGUAACGGUGAAAUGCAUAGAUAUCACGCAGAACUCCGAUUGCGAAGGCAGCUUACUAAGCUACAACUGACACUGAAGCACGAAAGCGUGGGGAUCAAACAGGAUUAGAUACCCGUGUAGUCC
rnacentral:rRNA from 1 species